CCCGGGCCGAGAGCAGCGACGGCAGCGCCAUGGGCAGAGGGUCCCCCCCGUGCCCACGGUGACGCCCCGUACCCUCGAUGAUGCCGGUGGCCACGGUGACCCCCAUGCUGGCGGUGACAUCCAUGCCCAUGGCCUGGCCGGGAGUACUCGCCCGCUGCCACCACCUCCGAGAACGGGGGGGGCAAGAGGAAGCA